CAAAAAGGAACGCAGACUAAGAGCACCACGUCCUGUGGCAACGUCUGUGAAUGACCCACAUCCU
rnacentral:sRNA from 2 species